CAGACAGCCGUAAUUUGUGCGGCUUAUCCUGCGCGGCCUAUCAGGCAGAAGGCAACAGUUACCCCAGCACUAGGGAACGGGGAAGUCAACCGCGGUGGCGAGAAGACCCCGAAGCGAUGGAAGGCCUACGCCGACGACGACGUGCCCGCAGAUCUGUUAGAGACCUGCGAACCUGGAGGAGUGGCUGGCGGACUCUUCCCCAGACAUCAUGAAGGCACUACUCGGACAUUUGAAACUUUUAAACUUGUCUGAUGGCUAAGCCUUGCCUUUUUUUAUUAGUGGACCCGGACUGGGGCUCGUUUAUUUUUAAUAAAGUUGUUCUCUCUCUC